rnacentral:rRNA from 1 species
GACGAACGCUGGCGGCGUGCCUAAUACAUGCAAGUCGAGCGAGCGGAACUAACAGAUUUACUUCGGUAAUGACGUUAGGAAAGCGAGCGGCGGAUGGGUGAGUAACACGUGGGGAACCUGCCCCAUAGUCUGGGAUACCACUUGGAAACAGGUGCUAACACCGGAUAAGAAAGCAGAUCGCAUGAUCAGCUUUUAAAAGGCGGCGUAAGCUGUCGCUAUGGGAUGGCCCCGCGGUGCAUUAGCUAGUUGGUAAGGUAAAGGCUUACCAAGGCGAUGAUGCAUAGCCGAGUUGAGAGACUGAUCGGCCACAUUGGGACUGAGACACGGCCCAAACUCCUACGGGAGGCAGCAGUAGGGAAUCUUCCACAAUGGACGCAAGUCUGAUGGAGCAACGCCGCGUGAGUGAAGAAGGUUUUCGGAUCGUAAAGCUCUGUUGUUGGUGAAGAAGGAUAGAGGUAGUAACUGGCCUUUAUUUGACGGUAAUCAACCAGAAAGUCACGGCUAACUACGUGCCAGCAGCCGCGGUAAUACGUAGGUGGCAAGCGUUGUCCGGAUUUAUUGGGCGUAAAGCGAGCGCAGGCGGAAGAAUAAGUCUGAUGUGAAAGCCCUCGGCUUAACCGAGGAACUGCAUCGGAAACUGUUUUUCUUGAGUGCAGAAGAGGAGAGUGGAACUCCAUGUGUAGCGGUGGAAUGCGUAGAUAUAUGGAAGAACACCAGUGGCGAAGGCGGCUCUCUGGUCUGCAACUGACGCUGAGGCUCGAAAGCAUGGGUAGCGAACAGGAUUAGAUACCCUGGUAGUCCAUGCCGUAAACGAUGAGUGCUAAGUGUUGGGAGGUUUCCGCCUCUCAGUGCUGCAGCUAACGCAUUAAGCACUCCGCCUGGGGAGUACGACCGCAAGGUUGAAACUCAAAGGAAUUGACGGGGGCCCGCACAAGCGGUGGAGCAUGUGGUUUAAUUCGAAGCAACGCGAAGAACCUUACCAGGUCUUGACAUCUAGUGCCAUUUGUAGAGAUACAAAGUUCCCUUCGGGGACGCUAAGACAGGUGGUGCAUGGCUGUCGUCAGCUCGUGUCGUGAGAUGUUGGGUUAAGUCCCGCAACGAGCGCAACCCUUGUUAUUAGUUGCCAGCAUUAAGUUGGGCACUCUAGUGAGACUGCUGGUGACAAACCGGAGGAAGGUGGGGAUGGCGUCAAGUCAUCAUGCCCCUUAUGACCUGGGCUACACACGUGCUACAAUGGACAGUACAACGAGAAGCGGGCCUGCGAAGGCAAGCGGACCUCUGAAAGCUGUUCUCAGUUCGGACUGCAGUCUGCAACUCGACUGCACGAAGCUGGAAUCGCUAGUAAUCGCGGAUCAGCACGCCGCGGUGAAUACGUUCCCGGGCCU